rnacentral:rRNA from 1 species
CAGUCGACGGUGAAGAGGAGCUUGCUCCUUGGAUCAGUGGCGAACGGGUGAGUAACACGUGAGCAAUCUGCCCUUGACUCUGGGAUAACUGCGGGAAACUGUAGCUAAUACCGGAUAUUACCUUGGAAGGCAUCUUCUGGGGUGGAAAGAAUUUUGGUCAAGGAUGAGCUCGCGGCCUAUCAGCUAGUUGGUGAGGUAAUGGCUCACCAAGGCGACGACGGGUAGCCGGCCUGAGAGGGUGACCGGCCACACUGGGACUGAGACACGGCCCAGACUCCUACGGGAGGCAGCAGUGGGGAAUAUUGGACAAUGGGCGGAAGCCUGAUCCAGCAACGCCGCGUGGGGGAUGACGGCCUUCGGGUUGUAAACCUCUUUCAGUAUCGACGAAGCGCCUGUAUGGGUGGUGACGGUAGGUACAGAAGAAGCACCGGCCAACUACGUGCCAGCAGCCGCGGUAAUACGUAGGGUGCGAGCGUUGUCCGGAAUUAUUGGGCGUAAAGGGCUCGUAGGCGGUUUGUCGCGUCGGGAGCGAAAACACUGGGCUUAACCGAGUGCUUGCUUUCGAUACGGGCAGACUAGAGGUAUGCAGGGGAGAACGGAAUUCCUGGUGUAGCGGUGAAAUGCGCAGAUAUCAGGAGGAACACCGGUGGCGAAGGCGGUUCUCUGGGCAUUACCUGACGCUGAGGAGCGAAAGUGUGGGGAGCGAACA